GGCACGCCUAACACAUGCAAGUCGAACGAAGUAGCAAUACUUAGUGGCAGACGGGUGAGUAACAUGUGGGUAUCUUCCCUAUGGCCUGGAAUAACACGAGGAAACUUGUGCUAAUACUGGAUAAGUCUUUACGGAGAAAGCUUUAUGCACCAUUGGAUGAGCCCGCACUUGAUUAGUUUGUUGGUGGGGUAAUGGCCUACCAAGACAAUGAUCAAUAGCUGAUUUGAGAGGAUGAUCAGCCACAUUGGGACUGAGACACGGCCCAAACUCCUACGGGAGGCAGCAGUGGGGAAUCUUGCACAAUGGAGGAAACUCUGAUGCAGCGAUGCCGCGUGAGUGAAGAAGGCCCUUGGGUUGUAAAGCUCUUUCGUCGGGGAAGAAAAUGACUGUACCCGAAUAAGAAGGUCCGGCUAACUUCGUGCCAGCAGCCGCGGUAAUACGAAGGGACCUAGCGUAGUUCGGAAUUACUGGGCUUAAAGAGUUCGUAGGUGGUUAAAAAAGUUGGUGGUGAAAUCCCAGAGCUUAACUCUGGAACUGCCAUCAAAACUUUUUAGCUAGAGUAUGAUAGAGGAAAGCAGAAUUUCUAGUGUAGAGGUGAAAUUCGUAGAUAUUAGAAAGAAUACCAAUUGCGAAGGCAGCUUUCUGGAUCAUUACUGACACUGAGGAACGAAAGCAUGGGUAGCGAAGAGGAUUAGAUACCCUCGUAGUCCAUGCUGUAAACGAUGUGUGUUAGACGUUGGAAAUUUAUUUUCAGUGUCGCAGCGAAAGCAAUAAACACACCGCCUGGGGAGU
rnacentral:rRNA from 1 species